AAGAAGAGGAGCAGGACCAGAAGGAAGUGGAAGCGGAACUCUGUCGCCCCAUGUUGGUGUGUCCCCUGGAGGGGCCUGAGGGCGUACGGGGCAGGGAAUGCUUUCUCAGGGUCACUUCUGCCCACCUGUUUGAGGUGGAACUCCAAGCAGCUCGCACCCUGGAGCGACUGGAGCUCCAGAGUCUGGAGGCAGCUGAGAUAGAGCCGGAGGCCCAGGCCCAGAGGUCGCCCAGGCCCACGGGCUCAGAUCUGCUCCCUGGAGCCCCCAUCCUCAGUCUGCGCUUCUCCUACAUCUGCCCUGACCGGCAGUUGCGUCGCUAUUUGGUGCUGGAGCCUGAUGCCCACGCAGCUGUCCAGGUGAUGGCGCCCAGAGUGGGGGCCCAGGAGGCUGUGGGGAUUAAGAGAGCCAGAGGGGAGUGGCAGCAGGCCUGAGGGCCAGGGGCCUGUGGGAGGUGUCCGUCUGGGGUCCGCCUGCUCACAGCUGCCUCUGAUCCACCCUCUGUCAGGAGCUGCUUGCCGUGUUGACCCCAGUCACCAAUGUGGCUCGGGAACAGCUUGGGGAGGCCAGGGACCUCCUGCUGGGUAGAUUCCAGUGUCUACGCUGUGGCCAUGAGUU
rnacentral:sRNA from 1 species